rnacentral:rRNA from 1 species
GAUGAACGCUGGCGGCGUGCCUAAUACAUGCAAGUCGAGCGAACGGACGAGAAGCUUGCUUCUCUGAUGUUAGCGGCGGACGGGUGAGUAACACGUGGAUAACCUACCUAUAAGACUGGGUUAACUUCGGGAAACCGGAGCUAAUACCGGAUAAUAUUUUGAACCGCAUGGUUCAAAAGUGAAAGACGGUCUUGCUGUCACUUAUAGAUGGAUCCGCGCUGCAUUAGCUAGUUGGUAAGGUAACGGCUUACCAAGGCAACGAUGCAUAGCCGACCUGAGAGGGUGAUCGGCCACACUGGAACUGAGACACGGUCCAGACUCCUACGGGAGGCAGCAGUAGGGAAUCUUCCGCAAAGGGCGAAAGCCUGACGGAGCAACGCCGCGUGAGUGAUGAAGGUCUUCGGAUCGUAAAACUCUGUUAUUAGGGAAGAACAUAUGUGUAAGUAACUGUGCACAUCUUGACGGUACCUAAUCAGAAAGCCACGGCUAACUACGUG